AGAGUUUGAUCCUGGCUCAGGAUGAACGCUGGCGGCGUGCCUAAUACAUGCAAGUAGAACGCUGAAGCUUGGUGCUUGCACCGAGCGGAUGAGUUGCGAACGGGUGAGUAACGCGUAGGUAACCUGCCUCUUAGCGGGGGAUAACUAUUGGAAACGAUAGCUAAUACCGCAUAAAAGUCGAUAUCGCAUGAUAUUGAUUUGAAAGGUGCAAUUGCAUCACUAAGAGAUGGACCUGCGUUGUAUUAGCUAGUUGGUGAGGUAACGGCUCACCAAGGCGACGAUACAUAGCCGACCUGAGAGGGUGAUCGGCCACACUGGGACUGAGACACGGCCCAGACUCCUACGGGAGGCAGCAGUAGGGAAUCUUCGGCAAUGGGGGCAACCCUGACCGAGCAACGCCGCGUGAGUGAAGAAGGUUUUCGGAUCGUAAAGCUCUGUUGUAAGAGAAGAACGAGUGUGAGAGUGGAAAGUUCACACUGUGACGGUAACUUACCAGAAAGGGACGGCUAACUACGUGCCAGCAGCCGCGGUAAUACGUAGGUCCCGAGCGUUAUCCGGAUUUAUUGGGCGUAAAGCGAGCGCAGGCGGUUAGAUAAGUCUGAAGUUAAAGGCUGUGGCUUAACCAUAGUACGCUUUGGAAACUGUUUAACUUGAGUGCAGAAGGGGAGAGUGGAAUUCCAUGUGUAGCGGUGAAAUGCGUAGAUAUAUGGAGGAACACCGGUGGCGAAAGCGGCUCUCUGGUCUGUAACUGACGCUGAGGCUCGAAAGCGUGGGGAGCAAACAGGAUUAGAUACCCUGGUAGUCCACGCCGUAAACGAUGAGUGCUAGGUGUUGGGUCCUUUCCGGGACUCAGUGCCGCAGCUAACGCAUUAAGCACUCCGCCUGGGGAGUACGACCGCAAGGUUGAAACUCAAAGGAAUUGACGGGGGCCCGCACAAGCGGUGGAGCAUGUGGUUUA
rnacentral:rRNA from 1 species